AAGAGGCUAGCCUCUAUAUCUAAAUCUAUACCCGAACUCUUAUCGAACUCGAGCGUCCUUAUUUAGAUAGCCACACAUACUACUUUUGUGGGAACCAUGGCUUUAUAAAAUAAUAAUUU
rnacentral:rRNA from 1 species